AGAGUUUGAUCAUGGCUCAGAAUGAACGUUGGCGGCGUGGACUAGGCAUGCAAGUCGAGCGAGAAUUUGUGGAUUGAGGCUUCGGCCGAUUGAAGCAAAGGAAAGCGGCGCAAGGGAGAGUAACGCGUGGAUCAUCUGCCCUCAGGUCUGGGAUAGCUGCGGGAAACUGCAGGUAAUACCGGAUAAUAUCUUCGGAUCAAAGGUGUGAUUCCGCCUGUGGAUGAGUCCGCGUCCUAUUAGCUUGUUGGUGGGGUAAUGGCCUACCAAGGCUGCGAUGGGUACCGGGCGUGAGAGCGUGGCCCGGCUCACUGGGACUGAGACACUGCCCAGACGUCUACGGACGGCUGCAGUCGAGAAUCUUCCGCAAUGGACGAAAGUCUGACGGAGCGACGCCGCGUGCGGGAUGAAGGCCUUCGGGUUGUAAACCGCUGUCAGUUGGGAGGAAAUCUUAUGGGGUUCUCCCCAUAAGUUGACCUAUCUUCAGAGGAAGACCGGGCUAAGUUCGUGCCAGCAGCCGCGGUAAGACGAACCGGUCAAACGUUAUUCGGAAUCACUGGGCUUAAAGGGUGCGUAGGCGGCUUGGCAAGUUGGGUGUGAAAGCCCGCAGCUCAACUGCGGAAUUGCGCUCAAAACUGCCAGGCUUGAGGGAAGUAGGGGUGAGCGGAACUGAUGGUGGAGCGGUGAAAUGCGUUGAUAUCAUCAGGAACACCAGUGGCGAAAGC
rnacentral:rRNA from 1 species